AGGUUCCUAGGUCCUCUGCCCUGAGCCUGUGCCCCUGAGAGGGCCCUGAGGGCAGAGGGCGCUUCCUGAGACACGGAUAGGCUCACUGGCUGGCGGUGGUGUCACUGUGUCGCCCGGCGACAGAUACAGGGUGUUUGCUCUGGAAUCUGCCAACGACUCCCAUCCAGAUCCCGGCUGAGGGCUGGGCCCUGUUAGGCCGGGUCCCCACAGCUUCUCCAGGCACCUGGCACACGGGGAAUGAGUGAGUGACUCGGCCAGGAUGAAAGCUGGAGCCUCUGCACGGUCCAAGCAGGGAGGCGAUGGCUCGCGUCACAGUCCAAGCAGCCAGGCGACGGUCCUGGCUGACGGGCUCUGGACACAACGAGAAGUUGGCGUCUACACCCGGAAGAGGGCCCUCAUCAGGCCCCAACACGCCGGCACCCUCAUCUCAGACCUGUGGCCUCCAAAACAGUGAGAAAUCAACCCUGCUGUUGAUCAGCCACGCGUCUAUGGCAGCCAAACAGACUCAGGCAGGGUCUGGGGCCUGGGGGUGGGUUUAAUGUUUAUUUAUUGAUUUAUUUAUUUUUAAUUUUUUUUUGAGACAGGUCUCAUUCUAUUGCCCAGGCUGAGUGCAGUGGUGCAGUCACAGCUCACUACAGCCUUGAAUUCCUGGGCUCAAGCAAUCCUCCCACCUCAGCCUCCCAAGUAGCUGGGACCACAGGUGCACACCACCACACCUGGCUAUUUUUCUUUUGCAGAGAUGGGGUUUCCUUAUGUCUCCUGGGCUGGUGUUGAAGUCCUGAGCUCAAGAAAUCCUCCCAUCUCAACCUCCCAAAGUGCUGGGCAGUGCCCAGCUGAGCGGGUGGGUCCACUGGAUGAGACCACAGGGACUACCACCUGCCUCGGUCCCAGGAGGGCCCGGAGGACACAGCCAUAGUGGAGCGGCCAGCAUGGUGCUAGCACAAAGCAGAGCUGCUGAGAAGCUCCUGGAGAGCUGAGCUGCGUGGACGAUGUUAGCAGGAGGAAGUGCUGCCCCGGGUCCUGCCAUGGGAGCCGUGUGGCUGCGCCAACCGCUGGAGGCAAGGUGGGUGUCGGUGCAGCAAUGGGGGCAGCCGGGGUGCCUGACCCUCACGAUCUGUGGCUCAUAGGCCACCAUGUCCCUGGAGUGGGCGAUGAACAACCAACUGAGGUAGGCACUGGACUUGAAUAACCAGAAAUAAACAAGCACCGGGAGGAGAAGGCUGGGACCUGCAGGCACAGUGGGAAACUGUGACUCCUGCUCUCAUUUCCAGAACUCAACCAUGACCAUUGGUUGGAGGAGAGCCUUGGUCUCCUCGGAGAAGGGCCCUGCAGCACCACACACAGGUGUGAUGGACCCCACACAGGUGGGAUGAACCCCACACAGGCGUGAUGGACCGCGCAGGCAUGAUGGACUGCGUGCAGGUGUGAUGGACCACACAGGUGUGAUGGACCGCGUGCAGGUGUGAUGAAGACUCCCCCAGAGCCACUGUGGCUGCAUCUUCAGAGUAGCUCUGUCCUGGAGAAAGGACGCCCGCAACAGGAAGGGCUUUGGGAUCUCGGGUCUGAUGCCACCCAGGGACCCAACAUGUCAUGGCAGCCCCCAGUCAGCAUGGGGGCCUGGGGAUGCCAAGUGACCGAUGGGGUCCCCCCAGUCAGCGUGGGGGCCUGGGGAUGCCAAGUGACCGAUGGGGUCCCCCCAGUCAGCGUGGGGGCCUGGGGAUGCCAAGUGACC